UUUUUAUUCGGGCUACUUAAAAUUAUUUUGGGCUACCAAAAACUGAAGAGUGCCUGUCCGAAGGGCUACCAGAGAUUUUGAAAUUUUGCGAGCCCUGCUAGUGAUUGAGCCCAUAAAAUUGUCGAGAAACUGGUUUCCAAGUCUUUCAUAACCAUCGUUUAUAUACAGUCUACACUCUUAAACAAUAGAGAAUGCAUUAUGGGGUCAAGACUUGACCCAAAAAGUAUCGCCUCUCAGCCAAAUUUCACUUUUCCAACUGUAAGUCAAACCAAGCCAUCAAUAAUCAUCUCGUCAGACACCAACCGUGAAAAAUCUCAGUCCUGCAGACACCUUUAUGUAUACAUUAUACACAUUCUGUGCAUCCCUACUUAAACUCUGGUGGUGCAAUAGAAAGCACUAUACUGAAAAAGAGUGUUUGAAAGAAAACCGAUGUUGUGCCAAAGUGAUUCACAGUAUUUGCAUGUUUGUAAAUUACCUGUUGGCCUAUUAUCUAUGAAAUGUGUCAGACAUAUUUUUUGUGAAUAAUAUCAAACCAUUUUAAGCCAGAAAGAACAUUUGUAGCUUCUACCUUAUGACAGCAAUCUGUUUUAGGCAAAGCAAUUUUUAUAUAUCCAUUAUUUAUUAAUUUAAAAAUGUCACUGAAAUUAAAAUUGCCAUUUUCAACACAGAGAUUGUAACAAAUAUACCAUGACAGUUAUAUAAAGCUAUUUUAAGUGCCAAAACAAUACUGGAUUGACUAUAAUGUAGAACAAUUAAAGAGACGGGUGAUUUCUUUAUUUCCUGUUGACAGACUAUGUAUCAAUAGAACCAAAGACUUUAGACAUAAACACAAAGAAACACCGGAAAUCACUUUUUGGCACAACACCGGAACUACACUGAAACCUGUAAAAACGGUGUGCAGAGCGGGGUCAUGGUUGGCUUAUAUACACCAAAGUCUUCAAAGUCAGCUUCUGUACUGUUCUGUACAAUGGGGCACAGGGGGGCUGGAGCGUGUUCCAGCUGUCAUAGAGAGAGGCAGGCUGGACAGAUCUAACACAGACGGACAGACGACACAGCAUCAGUACGUGUGUACAGUGCAUAUGAAUAUUAUUAUUGUAGUCUUUAACUUAUAUUAUACAGCGCCCUGAGGCAACUGUUGUUGUAAUUUGGUGCUAUAAAAAUAAAAUACAAUUACAUAAAUAACCAAUGUAGUAACUAUGUAGUAACAAUGUGCUCAGUGCUCCUGAAUGUGUAUUAGAAUUUCACACAUGAUAAUGUUGAACCACCAUGAACUCUCCACUUGUCUGAUUAAUGGCUGAUCUCUGAGAAUGUUUUUAAACAGCUGUUUAAUCAUUCAGUAACACUGUGUCUGACUUGGUUUAAAAAAAAAAAAAGACGUGGGUAUUUUUAAGUGGACAUCAUGUCGGCACAGAACGCGUAGCUUUAUUGAGAUACGUUAUUGUGCAGUCCCAGUCAUGGCACAGGUAAUCCAUACUGAGCUGACGUCUUUAUUUCGGAGCGCUCUGUCGUGCUCUGUGUCCUCGCUGGCUUCACCUGCCGUUUCCAGUUGUUUUCCCAUCAUCCCGAGCUCUCUGCCUCUCCCCUCUUCUGUGUGUGCCUGUGUUUUUGUCUUUGUGCAGCAUUGGGCCUUGGAGUGGUUCCCGCUCUGGAGCCAUUGACACCUGCUGAUAGUCACACUCAUCUGCCGCUACCACUUCCAUAAAAUCGGCGUCUGUCCCAUAUUUACUGUCAGGUUAAACCAAAGAAAAGACACUUGUCUAUAGAUCAGUAACAGAAGGUCAGACACCAGUCAUGUAACAGAAAUAUAAAGAAUACUCUAUUAUCAUCCUCUUUCAAUUCAGUUUUAUUUCUACAGCGCCAAAUCACAACAACAGUUCCCUGAAGGUGCUUUAUAAAGUAAGAUAAAAGCUCCACAAUAAUACAGAGAGAACCUCAACAAUCCGAUGACCCUCGGAGCAAGUACUUGGCGGCAGUUGGAAGGAAAAAACAGUCACUGCAGAUGAGGAUUUCUCAUCUUAUCUUUUAAGCACAAACACCAUUUAUUCAGAAGAAAAGAAUGAAUGAAUUAUCUAAAGCAGCUGUAUUAAUUUUGUGCUUACAGGAACAGUUUCAGUCUACUAGGAGAAAAAAACAUUUGUAUCUAUGCUGUGACUUACUCAUAUCGUGUGCAGGAAGUGGCAGCAGGAAGAAAAUAACCCUUCAGGAACAUAUUUAUGGAAAUGUGAGUCUUUCAACACUGACAAAAAACCAAAUGUCAAUAAUAACAAUUUUGCUGUAUAGAAAUAACCUUUUAUAAAAAAUAAAUAUUGCCGUUGUCGAACUGCAGCUGCGAUACAGUCCUGUGCAAGCCUUCAGACACUCAUUUCAUAUUAUUUUUCUUUCAAGGACCUAGACCUGUCCACUCAUGGUAAUUUGGAGGCUUUUAAUCAUUAAUUUAACAGUUAAUUUAACCGUUUAUAUCCAACAUACACCUUUAAUGACUUUAAAACACAAGAACUGGGAGAAUAAGAUUAAAUAUGUUUUGGAUUUUCUUUGAUCCACACAGAGUCAAAAUUGGACUUGCAGGGUCAAACAUAUACAUACACCUCCACUAAUAUUUGCUUCCCGUAGCAUCAGCAAGCUUUGGGCAUAGUUCUGGCUCAGUCUUUGUUUUUGGUUUGUAAUUGGUUGAUUUCCUGGUAUGAACGUCACUUGGGGUAUGAAUGUCACCUCUCAGGUGGAGUGGGAGCCUAAGUUAGCGCUGGACGUUGAGAGAUACUGGCUAGAUAUAGUCAACACAUGGCUCUGGAACCAGGGGUUGAGUCUGGAGUUGAGAAACUAGAAAAAUCAAAUCACUAAAGUUAUUUGAGAUGAGUUCUGCCAGUCCACAGCAAACCAUUGCAAAAGACAACCUUGGAGGGGCAUGCUGACCAGACGUACAAUCAAAUAAAUCUCAUUCACAUAGAAUAAAUAACCAGAUCAGUCCUGCUGAUUUUUCGUUUGUUUUUCAGUUGCCUCUGUUUAUUUGGAUGUUUGCUGUCUGUCUGUCCUUUCAGACAGAUCAAUACUUCUUUCAUACUCUCUGCCAGUCACUUAGCCAAACAAAGGAACGCAUGAUAUGUGUCAGUUCCUUUCACUAUGGGCCAGAUUUCUGUCUUUGAAAUAAAAUGCCUGCUUUGAUGGUGAAUGGUGAAACAGUGAUAUCUGAUGUGUUGUUGCAGUGCGUUAAGGGAGGUUACCAGUACAUCUGCCACCUUAAGGUUGAUUUCUGCAAUCCUUGGGACUUUUAUAAGCUUACAGUAAAACCAUAGCACCAAACUAGAGAACAGAGAAAAAGUCUGCUUUGUGCUGGUGUGUAUUGUACAAUCAUAUUUUGACAAAUGACUGACAUGACAAACUCUUUUCUACUUGGCUGUUAUGUUACUGAUCAAGCUUUGUUUCUCUCUUUGAAGACUCCUUCAGUCACUCGGAUGAGUGACGAAACGUUUCUCCCACUGAAAACAUCCACAUGAACAGAAUCAGCUCUUUGAGACUGACUUACCUGGAUGAUUGAGCAUGCAUCAAGACAUAAAAUGAGCCUUUAUUGUUGGCCCAAAACUCCAGGGUUCAGGACACAUUACACAGAAAACUGAAAAUGAUUAUUCUGCAGAAGAAUGUCCACCACCAGUGUUACAAGAUUAACAUUACUGUGGAAGAUGUUUAGGGCUCAGCUCAAACAUUUCAUAUUGUUUGAUCAACAUUAUAUUCUAUAAAAGCAUGAACCAUAAUGCUAUUAAUAACAGCAGUUAAUGAGCUCAGAAAAUAAGCCUCCAUGUCCAUCAGGAGGUUGAACUUUCCACAUUUGGUCAACCAGAUGUUUUUUCUGGAAUGCUAAUCUGCAAAAUGCUAGCUGAGCGUCCAGCUCUUACAAUGACCCAUUUUAUUAAUCUGGGUUUUACAUCUCCUCUCCAUCAUCAAGGCUCUCUUUGUUAACAUACUAAAGGAGUCAUUCAAAUGUUUUUUUUACACUGAAAUUAUGUCAAAAAUCAGACACGUCUCUGAUUUCUGUCUUUGUCUUUCUUCCUGACUUCUUUCUUUCUGUAUUUUUGUAUGUCUAAUUAGUUCUUUUGUCCUUCUGUUUAUCAUUUCUUUUUUCAAUCUUUCUUUAUGUCUUUCUUUUCUCCCCCUUUGCCUGUCCUUUAAAGCCAAUCAGAACUGUUAUCAGAAGGUUAAAAAAAUGCCCAGUAGUUUUAUUUUCCCAUGUGGACCAUUAUGACUUUUGUGAUAAUGGUCCACGUGACAGUUAGAUUUAUUAGAUUUUUUUAGAUUCAGGGAGCACCAAAAUAAAAGAGAUAGAAGAAGAAAUUGCUGAGAAGCUUGGUCAGAAAGCAGCCAAAGUCCAGGAAAAAGAGGCUAAGGAGAGGAAGAUAAUUAGAGCAAAUUGUCCAAACUCAAAGUCAAGCAGGGAUGGAUACACAAGACAAUCAGGAGAAUAACACAAGUGUCGAGGAACAGAGUUCACAGAAGUCUCAGGAAAGGAAGAAGACUACAAAUGAAACAAGGGAUACAGAAGGCAGUCAAAUGUUGACGGAAGAUUCCUUUAAAGUUUCUGUCAAAAAGAACAAAAAUCAGAGAGUGUAGUUGGCUCUCAAAUUGAAAAUGAAGCCACAGAUAAAACAGAGAUGGAAAGUUCAGGAAAGAAAAGGGCAGAAUCUGACAGUGAUAUGGAAGAAGAGGAUGAAGGACUGAAGAUAGUCUGACCAGUUCAACCUGUAAAUUUUCUGUUAAACAUCUUCUGAAGGUCACAAAGAAGAAGAAAAAUGUGAAAAUAGAGGAUUAUUUUCCACACAAUAAACUGUUUCUGUUUGUAUGUGAGACUCUAGCUGAGCAAUAAAGGAAAGGGACAUUGUACUGACAAAGAAGUCUGCAGAAUGAGAAAAAUAGUUGCAAAGCUUAAGCAGGAGUUUAAUAGUGAUGAAGAGUAUGAAGGUUUCUAAGGUUUUGUGUUUCCUGUUGUUAUUUAUCCUUGCAUCUCUGGGCAACUUCAGAGUUUCUACUUUAAACCUGAAUGGAGACAGAGAUGUGAGGAAAAAGCAUAUAACAUAUACAUGUGGUAAUGGACCAAGAAACGCAUGAGACUGGAGGAGAGAAUGGGCGGGAGACGUGAUUUUGAAUAUUUAAGCAGAGCUAGUGGUGGACUGGCGCUCCUUUUUACAAAAAGCUUUCUACCAGAGCCCUGUGAAUUUGACUGUGAAUUUCAGGAGGUGAUAAAGGGCAGAUUAAUGGUGGUGAAGGCAAAGUAUGAGUCUUUUGGUGAAUGUGUAUGCUCCCAAUACUCCAAAUUGGGGUUUUUUGGCUAGAGAUUUUAACUGUACAGAAAAUAAUUAGUUGGACAAGAAUCAUUUAGAACGUCAUGUGCCCUCACAAACAUUUCUAAAGAAACAGUCUUUAGUUGAUGUAUUGAAGGAAAAAACAUAAUCAGGAAAGACAAUAUAAAUGGACCAGGGAUUGAGAUCAUUUUUUUUCUGCAGCUAGAUUAGACAGAAUAUAUAUUGUUUCAGUCAAAAUUUCUGAAUUUUUAAAGAGUGUAACAUACAUCCUGUUUUUUCCCCCGAUCAUGCUCUUGUUUCUUGUAAUGCUGUUAUUGCUAAUCUUAAACACAAGUCUACUUACUGGAGUUUUAACACUGCUUUGUUAUUAGAUACAAAUUUUAAGACAGAUUGUAAAGCGUGUAUAAAUCUCGGAAAGAUGAUUUCAUGUCUUUAAGGCAGUGGUGGGAUUGUGGCAAAACUGAAAUCAAAGAAUUUUGUCAGCAGUACAGUGUCAUUGUCUCAUCGGACUUAGCCAAAUCUAUGAGAGAUCUGGAGAAAGAAAUAGGCUCCCUACUGGCUAACGCUGCCCUGCUGGCCCACCUGUCCCCGUCAGCACAGAUCGUGUUGACCACUGAUGCCUCGGACGUUGCGGUGGGCGCCGUGCUAGAACAGCGGGUCUCUGGUGUCUGGCAACCGCUUGCCUUUUUCAGCCAUACACUACGUGAUAACAAACGUAAAUGUGCAAUGUCCAAAGUUUCUGAUCCUUGGAGUGCACGCCAGCAGUGCCAUUUGGCAGCUAUUUCCGAGUUCAUGACUGACAUCCAGUCAGCCACGUGACUCCUCUUUCUCCUCUGUAUGUCAGCAUAGAUCAUUCUGCUAUGGCUGCUGACCAACGUGGUGAAUCGGACAUCCUUGCACUUAAGUCUGCACCGAUGGGCCUCAUGCUGGAGGACAGACCGGUGUAGGAUGGUGGUCCUCCCCUGGUCUGUGACGUUUCCACCGACCAGCCACUCCCCAUGGUUUCCGUUUCAUGGCAUCGUUGCGUUUUUUACUCUGUGCAUGCAUUAUCGGAUCCAAGUGUCCGGACCUCUGUAAAAAUGGUCAGCUCCAAUUUUGUUUGACCGGGUCUUUGCAAAUCUGUUAGGAAAUGGGCUGCGGCAUGCGUUCCAUGCGAGCGUGCAAAGGUCCAUGAGCACACUAAGGCACCUCUUCAGCCGUUUCUCAUCCCUGGCAAACGUUUUGAUCACGUGCACGUUGAUCUGGUUGGCCCUCUACCACAGUCACAAGGUUUCACACACCUUUUGACUGUGGUUGAUCGCACCACCCAGUGGCCAGAGGUGGUCCCCCUGGCAUCCACGACUGCGGCGGUGGUGGCCAGGGCAUUUUUGUUGAUUAGGUUUCACAUUUCAGUCUCCCUGCUGAUAUCACGUCCGACAGGGGCCCCAGUUUGUUUUGAAGCCUUGGUCUGCCAUCGCUGACAGCCUGGGGUCAAGAUCCACUGUAUCACUGCAUACCACCCACAGGCUAACGGGAUGUGCGAGAGUUUCACAGAUCGCUUAAGGCUGCACACCAUGCUUCUUCAACUGAUGGCGGCUGGGUUAACCGCUUCCCAUGGGUUUUGCUGGGAGGGUCUUGGUGCCUUUCCAGCCAAACUGGUCUUCGGUCAGCCUCUAUGUGUGGUGGACCACCGGGAGACAACACUCACUCCCAGUGGGAAGGUAACUAGGAGGGAUAACGUUUUUGGAUUCUAGGAGAUGUUAUGCCGCCUUGUGAAGUCAGUUGAGUGAAGCUGAGACUAAAGUUGGAGUAAAAUAUUGUAGCGUCCCUUCGACAGAAGACAGAUACGAUCGGUAUUCUGUUUACCGGCUGUUUAUUAAGAACAGUAACACAGGCUACUGUGGCCCGUAGCCAACGCCAAAACAACACGGAAACAUUUUCUCUAGAAUCAAAACAAACCCCCAUUCUCUCUGUCUUCCCCAACUCAACGCCCCUUUUUCCCAGAAACACCAACAACUCACUCUCUAACUCCCACCCCCCAAACACUGUCAGCCAACCACCAGCAUGCUCUCCUCCACAGUCUCUGUCAUAGGUAGCUGAUAUGAUUGACUGGCUUAACGGCCUCUGGACUAUUACACAUUCAAGGACACUAAGUAAAUAACAUUGUCGCUGGUGUAGAGUAACUACACUGUUAGAAAAAGCGUCUUGAAAAAACGGCGAUAUUCCGGCAGCUGGGGCGCCAAAAUACGACCGUAUAAUUACAGAAAAUAACUCCCGCAUAAAAAUACGGUUAUUUCCAGUAAUGAAAAUACAAUUAGUUGCGCUAAUUUGACAUGGGAUCUCGCCUGUUUCAAGUGCCGCUAAACAUUAAAUUAGGAACAUGUUAAUGUCAUUAAACAGUGAAAUCAUCUAUAAAUAGGAAAAGAAAACAUCCCCAAAAAACAGUAAUAUUCCGGCAGCUGGGGCGCCAAAAUACGACCGUAAAAUAACAGAAAAUAACUGUCCCAUAAAAAUACGGUCAUUUUCAGUAGUGAAAAUAGAGUGUGUUGCGGUAAUGUUACAUGGGAUUCUGCCUUUUCCAAGUGCUUUUAGACAUCAAAUUAGGAACAUUGUAACGUGAUCAAACAAUGAAAUUACCUAUAAACAAAGUCAAUGAAUGUGGCAAUAUGAAUCAUAAUACGUAAAUGUCCAGAAAUAUACAGUUAACAGUUGGUUUAACUAAUAAUGGACUGCAUGCUCUGGGACAGACUGACAGAGGAGAGGCUGCCGUAUCGCACCAUCGGCCGCUCUGGCCAUCGCCAGUAGGUGAAGUGUCUUGACCACGGACACAAUGACCGAGAGUGUUCGAGCCGCCAACCUUCUGAUCGCAAGGCGAACUGCUAACUCAUGAGCCACGAUCGCCCUAACUAGCAAUGAUAAUAAUACUUAUGUGAUGUAACACAAGCUUAUAGGGCUCAUGUUAUAUACUUUACCGUAGCAUUACAUUUGAAUCCAACAGUUCAGUCUUUCAAAUAACGGACAGAUAUUUGUGGAAUCAUGAUACAUUUGUGAAUGUAUUUUAACAAUCUAAAUAUGCAUAUGUACAGAUAGAUACAUUUAGUAAUCACGACAAUUAUGUUUCAUUACAUUACAGUGAUUUGACGUUAAUUUACAUUUGAAAUGUGAAGUCAAAGUCUAUUUACGUAACUUUAAUGAUAUUCUAGAAGAACAGAACAAAACUGUAAAAUGCACGAUUCUUUCCUACGGUCGCAGCCAUACCCGCGACCUUGUUGUUGUUAGUUCACAUUUAUUGGCCGAUGCUUAGCGUCAUGUUAUUACGUGUCCCAACAUCCAAUGGCAUAUCACAUUGUUUUCAUGGCCACACCCUCACCCCA